GGAGGCUUAGCUCAGUUGGAUAGAGCGUCGGUUUCCGGAGCCGAAAGUCAGAGGUUCAAGUCCUCUAGCCUCCGCCA
rnacentral:tRNA from 1 species